UUUCCGUAGGUGAACCUGCGGAAGGAUCAUUAUUGAAAUAAAUCUGAUAAGUUGCUGCUGGUUCUCUAGGGAGCAAUGUGCACACUUGUCAUCUUUGUAUCUUCACCUGUGCACCUUUUGUAGACCUGAGUAUCUCUCUGAAUUGCUUAUAUUAUAGCAUUCAGGAUUGAGAAUUGACUUCUUGUCUCUUCUUAUAUUUUCAGGUCUAUGUUUCUUCAUAUACCCCAAUGUAUGUUUAUAGAAUGUAAUUAAUGGGCCUUUGUGCCUAUAAACCUUUACAACUUUCAGCAACGGAUCUCUUGGCUCUCGCAUCGAUGAAGAACGCAGCGAAAUGCGAUAAGUAAUGUGAAUUGCAGAAUUCAGUGAAUCAUCGAAUCUUUGAACGCACCUUGCGCUCCUUGGUAUUCCGAGGAGCAUGCCUGUUUGAGUGUCAUUAAUAUUAUCAACCUUUUUGGUUGGAUGUGGGUUUGCUGGCCCUCUUGAGGUCAGCUCCCCUUAAAUGCAUUAGCGGACAACAUUUUGCCAACUGUUCAUUGGUGUGAUAAUUAUCUACGCUAUUGACAGGGAAGCAAGGUUCAGCUUCUAACAGUCCAUUGACUUGGACAAGCCUCUUUUAUUAAUGUGACCUCAAAUCAGGUAGGACUACCCGCUGAACUUAAGCAUAUCAAUAAGCGGAGGAAAAGAAACUAACAAGGAUUCCCCUAGUAACUGCGAGUGAAGCGGGAAAAGCUCAAAUUUAAAAUCUGGCAGUCUUUGGCUGUCCGAGUUGUAAUCUAGAGAAGCAUUAUCCGCGCUGGACCGUGUACAAGUCUCCUGGAAUGGAGCGUCAUAGAGGGUGAGAAUCCCGUCUUUGACACGGACUGCCAGGGCUUUGUGAUGUGCUCUCAAAGAGUCGAGUUGUUUGGGAAUGCAGCUCAAAAUGGGUGGUAAAUUCCAUCUAAAGCUAAAUAUUGGCGAGAGACCGAUAGCGAACAAGUACCGUGAGGGAAAGAUGAAAAGAACUUUGGAAAGAGAGUUAAACAGUACGUGAAAUUGCUGAAAGGGAAACGCUUGAAGUCAGUCGCGUUGUCCAGGGAUCAAUCUUGCUUUUGCUUGGUGUACUUUCUGGUUAACGGGUCAGCAUCAAUUUUGACUAUUGGAAAAAGAUCAAGGGAAUGUGGCAUCUUCGGAUGUGUUAUAGCCUUUGGUUGCAUACAAUAGUUAGGAUUGAGGAACUCAGCACGCCGCAAGGCCG
rnacentral:rRNA from 1 species